GGGGGGAUAACGAUCCGGAAACGGGUGCUAAUACCGCAUAGUUUUCUUGAUCGCAUGAUCGGGAAAGGAAAGACGGCCUUUGUGCUGUCGCUUAUGGAUGGACCCGCGGCGUAUUAGUUAGUUGGUGAGGUAACGGCUCACCAAGACGAUGAUACGUAGCCGACCUGAGAGGGUGAUCGGCCACAUUGGGACUGAGACACGGCCCAAACUCCUACGGGAGGCAGCAGUAGGGAAUCUUCCGCAAUGGACGAAAGUCUGACGGAGCAACGCCGCGUGAGUGAAAAGAAGGUUUUUCGGAUCGUAAAACUCUGUUUGUCAGAGAAGAACAAGUUGGAGAGUAACUGCUCCAGCCUUGACGGUAUCUGACCAGAAAGCCACGGCUAACUACGUGCCAGCCGCCGC
rnacentral:rRNA from 1 species